ensembl:snoRNA
CUUCCCAUUUAUUUGCUGCUAUGGUCUUUCAGUGACAUGAGCAGUUAUACGCAUGGGAUAAAAUAACAUUGGAUCAUUGUAACUUGGGAUGGAGUAACUGUUUCAUCUAUUUUGCAUGGUCUAGACAUUG